rnacentral:misc_RNA from 1 species
AAGAGACGUUGCCCUUCGGGGUAUACCUCCCACCCUUUGUUUAUUAUACCUUUGUUGCUUUGGCGGGCCCGUCCUCGGACCACCGGCUUCUGCUGGUCAGUGCCCGCCAGAGGACCUAAAACUCUGUUUGUUAAUAUUGUCUGAGUACUAUAUAAUAAGUUA